GUAUGGUGUAGAUGUACCUAGGUUAAGGUGGUAUAGUGUAGAUGUACCUAGGUUAAGGUGGUAUGGUGUAGAUGUACCUAGGUGAGGUGGUAUGGUGUAGAUGUACCUAGUUAAG
rnacentral:lncRNA from 1 species